rnacentral:rRNA from 1 species
AGCUAAUACCGCAUAACGUCGCAAGACCAAAGAGGGGGACCUUCGGGCCUCUUGCCAUCGGAUGUGCCCAGAUGGGAUUAGCUAGUAGGUGGGGUAACGGCUCACCUAGGCGACGAUCCCUAGCUGGUCUGAGAGGAUGACCAGCCACACUGGAACUGAGACACGGUCCAGACUCCUACGGGAGGCAGCAGUGGGGAAUAUUGCACAAUGGGCGCAAGCCUGAUGCAGCCAUGCCGCGUGUAUGAAGAAGGCCUUCGGGUUGUAAAGUACUUUCAGCGGGGAGGAAGGGAGUAAAGUUAAUACCUUUGCUCAUUGACGUUACCCGCAGAAGAAGCACCGGCUAACUCCGUGCCAGCAGCCGCGGUAAUACGGAGGGUGCAAGCGUUAAUCGGAAUUACUGGGCGUAAAGCGCACGCAGGCGGUUUGUUAAGUCAGA